GAGGGUGUAGCUUAGUGGUAGAGUGCCUGCUUAGCAUGCACAAGGUCCUGGGCUCAAUCCCCAGUACCUCCA
rnacentral:tRNA from 1 species